rnacentral:rRNA from 1 species
GUCCACGCCCUAAACGAUGUCAACUAGGUGUUGGGAGGGUAAAACCUUUUAAGUUACCGGAGCUAACGCGUGAAGUUGACCGCCUGGGGAGGUACGGCCGCAAGGUUAAAACUACAAAGGAAUUGACGGGGACCCGGCCACAAGCGGUGGGAUGAUGUGGAUUAAAUUUCGAUGCAAACGCGAAAAACCUUAACCUACCCUUGACAUGUCCAGAAGCUCUUAGAGAUUUGAGUGUGCCCGAAAGGGAGCUGGAACACAGGUGCUGCAUGGCUGUCGU